GUUAAAAAGCUCGUAGUCGGAUUUCAGGGCGGGGUGGCCGGUCUGCCGAUGGGUAUGCACUGGUUGGCUCGUUCUUCCUUCUGGGGACUGCGCCUGCUCUUGACUGAGUGGGUGUAGGAAACAGGACUUUUACUUUGAAAAAAUCAGAGUGUUUAAAGCAGGCCAAGAUGCUCUUGCAUGGAUUAGCAUGGGAUAAUGGAAUAGGACUUUGGUGCUAUUUUGUUGGUUUCGAACACCGAAGUAAUGAUUAAUAGGGACAGUCAGGGGCACUCGUAUUCCGUUGAGAGAGGUGAAAUUCUUAGACCAAUGGAAGACGAACUUCUGCGAAAGCAUUUGCCAGGGAUGUUUUCACUGAUCAAGAACGAAAGUAAGGGGAUCGAAGAUGAUCAGAUACCGUCGUAGUCUUUACCAUAAACCAUGCCGACUAGGGAUUGGAGGAUGUUCAUUUUGACUCCUUCAGCACCUUAUGAGAAAUCAAAGUCUUUGGGUUCCGGGGGGAGUAUGGUCGCAAGGCUGAAACUUAAAGGAAUUGACGGAAGGGCACCACCAGGAGUGGAGCCUGCGGCUUAAUUUGACUCAACACGGGGAAACUCACCAGGUCCAGACAUAGUAAGGAUUGACAGAUUGAGAGCUCUUUC
rnacentral:rRNA from 1 species